GAUGUUGCAAUAGUAAUUGAACUUAGUACGAGAGGAACCGAUCAUUCGGAUAGUUGGUAUUUUGGCCCGCCUGAGCAGGCGAUGGCCCAAAGUUAUCAUCCAUUGGGUUAUGCCUGAACGCCUCUAAGUCAUAACCCGUGCUCUAACGCGAUGAAUACCGCCUUUUCCGAUUUUUAGUUAAAUACGAAUAGAUCUUGGAAUCCUGAACCAUACUAUGUGGGGUUAUCUUGCAGAGCGGAAAUGCAUUGUGAGGUUCCUGCUAAUGUUAAUUUCAUUGGAAGAGAAAAAUCCAUUGCAGACGACUUUUAAGCAACGGUGUAUUGUAAACAGUAGAGCCGGUCUGUUGUGUCGAUCUACUGAGAUUAAGCACUAUGUUGUAAAGGUUU
rnacentral:ncRNA from 1 species